UCUGUCGGUGAAGAAUGUAUGAAAGUAUUGUACGCGUUAGUUAGGCCUAAAGUCAUAUAUUGUUUUAUAGUGAGAGGAUUACAAACGUAAAACUAAUAUUAAUUGUACUAGCAAUAGCACUACUUGUAAUUAGACGAAUUGAAAAUGACAUUACCAAUGUCUAAAAUGAAAUGGAGAUCUAGGAUUUUUGGAAAAGGUCAGCAGUGUAAUAAACCUGUACAUAUAAAUUGGAAAUGGUGAUUGGCUCAAGGAGUAACUUGGUAGAUGAAAGUAUAUUCUCGUAUAUGAAAGUAUGAUGAAUUACAUCAUGAUGAUGGAAAGAAAAUGUCAAGAAAAACUAAUUUAUACAGUUGAGAUCAAAUACAGAAUGUUUUUACAUUAAUAGAAAACAAGCAUGCUCAUCCAGGACUUUGAAUGUUCACGAUAUCGUUGGAAGAUGAUGAGGGUUCAGACACCGUAUGGGCAUAAAUACCAGUGUCCAGAUUGUAGAAAGUUGUUUAAUUCAUCCAGCGCCUUACAGAGUCAUCACUUUUAUCAACACCAGAACAAGGGCAAGUACAGUUGUCAGUUCUGUGGGAAGGCCUUCACUCGAAAAUCAAACAUGAAAGAACAUUUCUGUGACUACCAGGUCCACGCUAUCAGUGGAAAAUGAUGUGGGUGGAAACUUCAGUAGGACGUCGUUUCCAGUGUCCAGAGUGUUGUAAAUUGUUUAACACAUCCAACACUUUGCAGAAUCAUCACUUCUUUCAACAUCGAAAUAAAGAAAAUCAUUGUUGUCAUGUCUGUGGAAAAGGCUUUACCAGAAAAUCAAACUUGCGACGACACAUCUGUGUCCAUCAUCCAGUGUGGAACCGGGAGCUGAUGCAUUAGAUUGAGAUUUGUGGUCUUAAUAUUUAGGACUAUUGCAUCAAAGAUGACCUUUUACGUGCCUAUAUAUAUAGGGUUUCCAGGAAAAAAUAUAAAUUGUAAAAAUGCAUCACAUCUUUCUUAGUAGUCUAUGUGUUGAAAGUGUUGUACAUGCCACACCAAAUUUUUCACGCAACAACAUGUACACUCUAUUUUAAGCAUAGUACCUUGACAGAUCAAUUAAUUGUUUUUGUGCGAUUCUAAGAGUUUGUGUAAGAUUUUUAAACCAUGUUAUUAGUGGAUAGACAGCCUGUAUAUUAUUUUUAAAAAACUUUGAAAUGGUUUGUGGUGUUCCUAGCUCUCAGUUCAUCAGAAAAUCUGUAAUUGCAAAGAACAAUAUAAGAUUCAUUUUUAUUUAUUAGCUUUAUUGAGUGAAAGAAAAGUUAACAAUGCCACAAACUGCUUUUCAAAUUUUAUUAUAUAUAUAGAAAUGAGUUUUUUCUUUAUUGACCUAAAACAUUAUGUUGACGUCAAUAAGAAUAUUGUAAUUACAAAUAAAUGGGAAUCUUAAAUUAUUAUUUUAACUUGAUUACUUUAUUCUACACGAGUUCAUGCAUGAAAUUAAUUACCAAGUAGCUUUCGAGUUUGUGACUCUUAUCUACAGUUGUAUUAUUUAUCUGAAAAUAAGGCAUCAAAUUGAUGUGUUAAAAAAAUAAACGUAAUUCUUAUUCAUUUGGAAAA